AUUGAACGCUGGCGGCAGGCUUAACACAUGCAAGUCGAGCGGGGUGAUGGUGCUUGCACUAUCACUUAGCGGCGGACGGGUGAGUAAUGCUUAGGAAUCUGCCUAUUAGUGGGGGACAACAUCUCGAAAGGGAUGCUAAUACCGCAUACGUCCUACGAGAGAAAGCAGGGGAUCUUUAUGACCUUGCGCUAAUAGAUGAGCCUAAGUCGGAUUAGCUAGUUGGUGGGGUAAAGGCCUACCAAGGCGACGAUCUGUAGCGGGUCUGAGAGGAUGAUCCGCCACACUGGGACUGAGACACGGCCCAGAUUCCUACGGGAGGCAGCAGUGGGGAAUAUUGGACAAUGGGGGGAACCCUGAUCCAGCCAUGCCGCGUGUGUGAAGAAGGCCUUAUGGUUGUAAAGCACUUUAAGCGAGGAGGAGGCUCUUUUGGUUAAUACCCAGAAUGAGUGGACGUUACUCGCAGAAUAAGCACCGGCUAACUCUGUGCCAGCCGCCGCCGUAA
rnacentral:rRNA from 1 species